rnacentral:rRNA from 1 species
GAUGAGUGGCGAACGGGUGAGUAACACGUGAGUAACCUGCCCCUGACUUCGGGAUAAGCCCGGGAAACUGGGUCUAAUACCGGAUACGACUGCCGGACGCAUGUCUGGUGGUGGAAAGUUUUUUCGGUUGGGGAUGGGCUCGCGGCCUAUCAGUUUGUUGGUGAGGUAAUGGCUCACCAAGACGACGACGGGUAGCCGGCCUGAGAGGGCGACCGGCCACACUGGGACUGAGACACGGCCCAGACUCCUACGGGAGGCAGCAGUGGGGGAAUAUUGCACAAUGGGGGAAACCCUGAUGCAGCGACGCAGCGUGCGGGAUGACGGCCUUCGGGUUGUAAACCGCUUUCAGCAGGGAAGAAGCGCAAGUGACGGUACCUGCAGAAGAAGUACCGGCUAACUACGUGCCAGCAGCCGCGGUAAUACGUAGGGUACGAGCGUUGUCCGGAAUUAUUGGGCGUAAAGAGCUCGUAGGUGGUUGGUCACGUCUGCUGUGGAAACGCAACGCUUAACGUUGCGCGUGCAGUGGGUACGGGCUGACUAGAGUGCAGUAGGGGAGUCUGGAAUUCCUGGUGUAGCGGUGAAAUGCGCAGAUAUCAGGAGGAACACCGGUGGCGAAGGCGGGACUCUGGGCUGUAACUGACACUGAGGAGCGAAAGCAUGGGGAGCGAACAGGAUUAGAUACCCUGGUAGUCCAUGCCGUAAACGUUGGGCACUAGGUGUGGGGGGCAUUCCACGUUCUCCGCGCCGUAGCUAACGCAUUAAGUGCCCCGCCUGGGGAGUACGGUUCGCAAGGCUAAAACUCAAAGGAAUUGUACGGGGGCCCGCACAAGCGGCGGAGCAUGCGGAUUAAUUCGAUGCAACGCGAAGAACCUUACCAAGGCUUGACAUACACCGGACCGUCCUGGAAACCCAGGUCUUCUUCUUUGAAGCUGGUGUACAGGUGGUGCAUGGUUGUCCGUCCAGCUCGUGUCGUGAGAUGUUGGGUUAAGUCCCGCAACGAGCGCAACCCUCGUUCUAUGUUGCCAGCAUGUGAUGGUGGGAACUCAUAGGAGACUGCCGGGGUCAACUCGGAGGAAGGUGGGGAUGACGUCAAAUCAUCAUGCCCUUUAUGUCUUGGGCUUCACGCAUGCUACAAUGGCUGGUACAGAGAGAGGCGAACCCGUGAGGGCAAGCGAGUCCCUUAAAGCCAGUCUCAGUUCGGAUCGUAGUCUGCAAUUCGGCUACGUGAAGUCGGAGUCGCUAGUAAUCGCA